rnacentral:rRNA from 1 species
CGGGGUGAGUAACACGUGGGUAACCUGCCCCGGAAGUGGGGGAAUACCUCGGGGAAACUCGAGCUAAUACCGCAUAACAUCUUUAGGACGAUGGUCCUGACGAUCAAAGCGGGGUCGCAAGAUCUCGCGCUACCGGAUGGGCCCGCGCCUGAUUAGCUAGUUGGUGGGGUAACGGCUCACCAAGGCUUCGAUCAGUAACCGGCCUGAGAGGGCGAUCGGUCACACCGGAACUGAGACACGGUCCGG